rnacentral:rRNA from 1 species
GGUUUAAUUCGAUGCAACGCGAAGAACCUUACCUGGUCUUGACAUCCACGGAAGUUUUCAGAGAUGAGAAUGUGCCUUCGGGAACUGUGAGACAGGUGCUGCAUGGCUGUCGUCAGCUCGUGUUGUGAAAUGUUGGGUUAAGUCCCGCAACGAGCGCAACCCUUAUCCUUUGUUGCCAGCGGUCCGGCCGGGAACUCAAAGGAGACUGCCAGUGAUAAACUGGAGGAAGGUGGGGAUGACGUCAAGUCAUCAUGGCCCUUACGACCAGGGCUACACACGUGCUACAAUGGCGCAUACAAAGAGAAGCGACCUCGCGAGAGCAAGCGGACCUCAUAAAGUGCGUCGUAGUCCGGAUUGGAGUCUGCAACUCGACUCCAUGAAGUCGGAAUCGCUAGUAAUCGUGGAUCAGAAUGCCACGGUGAAUACGUUCCCGGGCCUUGUACACACCGCCCGUCACACCAUGGGAGUGGGUUGCAAAAGAAGUAGGUAGCUUAACCUUC